CCUACGGGGGGCUGCAGUGGGGAAUAUUGGACAAUGGGGGCAACCCUGAUCCAGCCAUGCCGCGUGUGUGAAGAAGGCCCUCGGGUGGUAAAGCACUUUCAGUGAGGAAGAACGCCUGGUGGUUAAUACCCAUCAGGAAAGACAUCACUCACAGAAGAAGCACCGGCUAACUCCGUGCCAGCAGCCGCGGUAAUACGGAGGGUGCGAGCGUUAAUCGGAAUUACUGGGCGUAAAGCGCGCGUAGGUGGCUUGAUAAGCCGGUUGUGAAAGCCCCGGGCUCAACCUGGGAACGGCAUCCGGAACUGUCAAGCUAGAGUGCAGGAGAGGAAGGUAGAAUUCCCGGUGUAGCGGUGAAAUGCGUAGAGAUCGGGAGGAAUACCAGUGGCGAAGGCGGCCUUCUGGACUGACACUGACACUGAGGUGCGAAAGCGUGGGUAGCAAACAGGAUUAGAUACCCCUGUAGUC
rnacentral:rRNA from 1 species